rnacentral:rRNA from 1 species
ACAGAGGUCUCAAGCGUUGUUCGGAUUUACUGGGCGUAAAGGGUGCGUAGGGUGUUGGGAAAGUCGGGUGUGAAAGCUCACCGCUUAACGGUGAAACUGCAUUCGAUACUACCUGACUAGAGGAUCGGAGAGGAAAUCGGAAUUCUUGGUGUAGCGGUGAAAUGCGUAGAUAUCAAGAGGAACGCCGAUGGCGAAAGCAGAUUUCUGGAAGACUCCUGACCCUGAGGCACGAAGGCUAGGGUAGCAAACAG